AAAGAUCGAAUGGGGAGAUUCAUCAUCAACGAAGCUGGCUUCGCGAUGGCUCGUGAUGUCCAUCGGGAUUUCGGUCCUGUGUGGCACGCGGUCGUUGCGUUGCGUCUGGCUACGUCGGCGUGCACUUCUCCCCUAGUAGAACGUCGCGACCCGUUGGGUGCCGGUCUUACGGCCUGGGUGGACGCCUGGUUGCUUUACUGCGCCAGACCCCCGUGUUGCCAAUGAAUCCGGCUGCCCGGCGGUACUCCGAAUGGUAUCAGGCCGCAUAUUUGAACUGCGUCGGGCCCAUUUUGUCCGCGGAUCAGCGCUCGGUGGUUACGGACCUAGUGCCGUCCCCGUGCCUGACUCGCGCAUGGCAAGUGGUGUCCUCCGACAGGCCAUGCACUCGAAUGAAGGAUACCGGUCGGCGACGCUACUGCUUUGGGUAAUCUCAGGACCCGUCUUKAAACACGGACCAAGGAGUCUAACAUGUGCGCGAGUCAUUGGGACCGCAUGCCUAAAGGCGAAAUGAAAGUGAAGGUCGGCCUUAGCGCCGACCGAGGGAGGAUGGGCCGCGUUACGAUGCGGCUUCGCACUCCCGGGGCGUCUCGUUCUCAU
rnacentral:rRNA from 1 species